GUGGGCGUGCCGGAGUGGUUAUCGGGCAUGACUAGAAAUCACGUGGGCUUUGCCCGCGCAGAUUCAAAUCCUGCCGCUCACG
rfam:Ipomoea nil DNA, scaffold: scaffold2283, cultivar: Tokyo-kokei standard.